rnacentral:tRNA from 1 species
GUGGCUGUAGCUCAGUUGGUUAGAGCAUCUGAUUGUGGUUCAGAGGGUCGCCGGUUCAAAUCCGGUCAGCCACCCCA